rnacentral:tRNA from 1 species
GGAGAGAUGGCCGAGUGGUUGAAGGCGCUCCCCUGCUAAGGGAGUAUGGGGGUGACUCCAUCGAGGGUUCAAAUCCCUCUCUCUCCG